rnacentral:rRNA from 2 species
AAGGCGACUGCCUGGACUGAUACUGACACUGAGGUGCGAAAGCGUGGAGCAAACAGGAUUAGAUACCCUGGUAGUCCACGCCGUAAACGAUGUCAACUAGUUGUUGGGGGUCUUGUACCCUUAGUAACGCAGCUAACGCAUUAAGUUGACCGCCUGGGGAGUACGGCCGCAAGGUUAAAACUCAAAUGAAUUGACGGGGGCCCGCACAAGCGGUGGAGCAUGUGGUUUAAUUCGAAGCAACGCGAAGAACCUUACCUGGCCUUGACAUGUAGCGAACUUUCCAGAGAUGGAUUGGUGCCUUCGGGAACGCUAACACAGGUGCUGCAUGGCUGUCGUCAGCUCGU